UUUGAUCUCAAAUCAG
rnacentral:rRNA from 1 species